GUCCUAUCCAAACCUGUCUUCAUCUUUGUUUGGUUUAUUUGUGAGAUUGUUGCAACACAUUAAGAAGCAUACAUAAGUUAAACACAUGGACAACAUAGAAAUCAUCUUCUAGGUUGCUCUUACAAACUGAAACCUUAAACUUCACAUCCUAAUCGGAGCUUAUUUUGUCCUAAAUAAUUGAGAGUGUUUCAUCUGCAUCUUCAAGUUCUUCAAGUUUUUCAUCUGCAUCUCAAAUUUCCAAAAGUGCUCCUAUUUAAUGAAAUGAUUAUUUGUUAACUUUUAUAUUUAUUUAAAAAUUCUAUGCCAAACAUUGAUUACACCCCAUUUCAUCCUACACCCC
rnacentral:lncRNA from 1 species